rnacentral:rRNA from 1 species
GACCGAGCAACGCCGCGUGAGUNAAGAAGGUUUUCGGAUCGUAAAACUCUGUUGGUAGAGAAGAACGUUGGUGAGAGUGGAAAGCUCAUCAAGNNACGGNAACUACCCAGAAAGGGACGGCUAACUACGUGCCAGCAGCCGCGGNAAUACGUAGGUCCCGAGCGUUGUCCGGAUUUAUUGGGCGUAAAGCGAGCGCAGGUGGUUUAUNNAGUCUGGUGUAAAAGGCAGUGGCUCAACCAUUGUAUGCAUUGGAACUGGUAGACUUGAGUGCAGGAGAGGAGAGUGGAAUUCCAUGUGUAGCGGUGAAAUGCGUAGAUAUAUGGAGGAACACCGGUGGCGAAAGCGGCUCUCUGGCCUGUAACUGNCACUNNGGCUCGAAAGCGUGGGGAGCAAACAGGAUUAGAUACCCUGGUAGUCC